GGGGACGUUUUAGAUUUGACAGGAUGAUUGGUUGUCAUAGAUUGCGUGUCCGUGCGCUGUUCACGGUUAUCAACGAGCAAACCAAAUUAAAUGCUAAAAACAAUGUAAUCGAAGCAGACUUCUCUAGAGCAUAUGCUUUAGCAGCGUAAGUCUUUCCGAUGAAUAGCUACUCAUAUAGCCCAGCUUGCCGGUUAUACGGGUCAAUUAUGCAAGCGGCAGUACGUUGAUGACGGUAGACGUAUCAAGAAAACCGUCAGGGGUUUAGAGUUUCCCUGAAAUAAAACCUUGGAUUAACUCAUAAGGGUUGUGAUAUUUCCUGAGUUAAUUGAGCGAAUAAAUAUCUACACACGUAGAGGUUUAUGGGAAUCCAUUUUGGACGUGGGUGCAAUUCCCACCGUCUCCACCA
rnacentral:tmRNA from 1 species